rnacentral:rRNA from 1 species
CGCACCGCUGGUGUACCAGUUGUUCCGCCAGGAGCAUCGCUGGGUAGCUAUGUGUGGGAAGGAUAAGCGCUGAAAGCAUCUAAGCGCGAAGCCAGCUUCAAGAUGAGAUUUCCCAUUCUUAGGAAGUAAGACCCCUGAAAGACGAACAGGUAGAUAGGCUAGAAGUGGAAGUGUUGUGAGACAUGGAGCGGACUAGUACUAAUCGGUCGAGGACUUAACCAAG